rnacentral:rRNA from 1 species
GAUGAACGCUGGCGGCGUGCCUAACACAUGCAAGUCGAGCGAUCUUCUUCGGAAGAGAGCGGCGGACGGGUGAGUAACGCGUGGAUAACCUGCCUCAUACACAUGGAUAACAUACCGAAGGUAUGCUAAUACAAGAUGAUAUAAGAGAUUCGCAUGGAUUCUAUCAAAGCUCCGGCGGUAUGAGAUGGACCCGCGUCUGAUUAGCUAGUUGGUAAGGUAAUGGCUUACCAAGGCGACGAUCAGUAGCCGACCUGAGAGGGUAGAUCGGCCACAUUGGAACUGAGACACGGUCCAAAUCCUACGGGAGCAAGCAGUGGGAUAUGCACAAUGGCGAAAGCCUGAUGCAG